AAAGACAAAUGGCUAAACAAGAAUUUAAGAAGUGAUAUUCAUGAACCAGGGCUCAUCUUCAAGCACUCUCUGAAGUCUAUGUAAUUAUUAAGGACUUGGUGUUAAUUUAUCUACUCUCCAUUCAUUUCCACUGCUUCUGCCCACUUAGAGGCUAGGCUGGGAGACAAGUAGCUAAAUGUGCCUAAGGGAAAGUGCCUGUGGAAAUUGCUCUUUCAAGUAGGUGGAGGUGGGGAGGAACAAAGAGGUGUAAGAAAUUAUCACAUGAAACUACUACUGAAACCAUGUGGGGUUUUUUCAAGUCAUUUUUCAGAGUGGAUACCAAAUAAUUUAAAUCAAGAUCAGAAUGCAAAAUGUGCACAUAAAAAAAAUAAAAUAAAA